rnacentral:rRNA from 1 species
ACCGUGAGGGAAAGGUGAAAUAGAACUUUUUUAGAAUAAAAAGAUCCUAAAAUUUAAUGUAUACAAUCAGUUGAAGCUUUUUUUAUAAUUUAGUUUAUAAUCAAAAGUGACAGCGUACCUUUUGCAUAAUGGGCCAGUAAGUUUAUAUUUGUGGCAAGUUUAAUAUUAAUUAGUAGACGCAGAUAAUUCAAUUUUUAAUAGAGAAAAAUGAAAAAGUCGCAAAUAUAAGACCCGAAGCUGAGUGAUCUAACCAUGAGCAGGUUGAAAAAAUAGUGGAAACACUUUUUGGAGGACCGAACUAGUGUCUGUAGAAACAGAUUUAGAUGACUUGUGGUUAGGGGUGAAAGGCUAAUCAAACUCAGGUAUAGCUGGUUUUCUGCGAAAUAUAUUUAAGUAUAGCCUGCAAAAAUAUUAAAAUAGGGUAGAGCACUUUUAAAAUACGGGGGGUCUUUGACCUUACUUAGUUUUGAAAAACUUCGAAUAUGUUUUAAGAUAAUUUGUGGAGUCAGACUUUAGGCGCUAAGGUCUAUAGUCAAGAGGGAAACAGCCCAGAUUAUUUAAUAAGGUCUUAAAUUCUAUAUUAAGUGGUAAGAAUGUUUAAAAAUUAAAACAAUUAUAAAGUAGGCUUGGAAGCAGCCAUCUUUUUGAGAAAGCGUAACAGCUCAUUAAUCUAGUUUUUUUACUUCAAAAAUUUAUAAAGACUCAAAUAUAGAACCGAAUUAAUAAAAUAUUUCAUAUUGGUAGCAGAACGUUCGGUAUGUUAAUGAAGAUAAGUUGUCUAAUUUAUUGGAGAUAUCCGAAGUGAGUAUACUGGCAUUAGUAGCUUAAACAAUGUUUAAUCAUUGUCGUCGAAAAUCUAAGGUUUUUAAUUCAACACUUAAUGAAAUUAAAAUUUAAUAAAGCGGUAUCUAAGGCAAAUUACAAAUGUAUAAGCUGAUGAAAUUCAUAUAAAUGUUACAAAAUAAAAAAAUUAUUAUUAAUUAAAGUAAUUUAUUAAAGUAAUUAAUUAUUUUCUGGAAAUAGCAUUUAUAUAUAUAACCGUACCCUAAACCGACACAGGUAGAUUGGUAGAACAUACUGAGACGUUCAAGAUAAUUGUGUUGAAGGAACUCGGCAAAUUAGCUCUGUAACUUAGGAAGAAGGAGUGACUGUUAAGAGAAAUCUUAAUAAGUUGGCACUAAAGAAGAAGAAACGACUGUUUAACAAAAACACAAGUCUCUGCUAAUUCGAAAGAAGAUGUAUAGAGACUGACACCUGCCCGGUGCUGAAAGGUUACGCGGAAAUGCUAAGGCAUUAAAGUCAAGCCCCAGUAAACGGCGGCUGUAACUCUGACGGUCCAAAGGUAGCGAAAUUCCUUGUCGGGUAAGUUCCGACCUGCAUGAAUGGUGUAACGAUUUCUUCACUGUCUCCAGCACAAUCUUGGUGAAUUUGAAAUACCCGUGAAGAUGCGGGUUAUUUGCAGUUAGACGGAAAGACCCCGUGCACCUUUACUAUGAUUUUAAGUUGUAAAAUUAAAUUUUUUGUGUAGAAUAGGUGGGAGCGCAAGCGUCGGUGAAAUACCAUCCUUAAUAUUUAAUUUUACUUAAUUUUUUAAAAGACAGCUUAUGAACGGUAGUUUGACUGGGGCGGUCACCUCCUAAAAAGUAACGGAGGUGUGCAAAGGCAAAUUCAAAUAAUAAUUUAUUGAAGAGUGUAAUGGCAUAUAUUUGCUUGACUGUAAGAUUGACAAAUCGAGCAGGGAUGAAAGUCGGCCAUAGUGAUCCGGUGAUUCUGAGUGGAAAGAUCAUCGCUCAACGAAUAAAAGGUACGCCGGGGAUAACAGGCUGAUGGUUUCUGAGAGUCCUUAUCGACGAGACCGUUUGGCACCUCGAUGUCGGCUCAUCACAUCCUGGAGCUGAAGCAGGUUCCAAGGGUUCGGCUGUUCGCCGAUUAAAGUGGUACGUGAGCUGGGUUUAGAACGUCGUGAGACAGUUCGGUCCCUAUCU